UCUUCUUCAUGUUAUUCUUCAUCUUCAAUUCAUUGUUUUCUUCUCUUUUUAUUUAAAAAAAUGAAGUGUGAUAACAAUUGGUGGAACAACGAGAAACCCAAAUUAGUUCGAUGAUACUUUUCCAUCAAUCAAUUAAGAAUCAAACGCCUUCACUCUAGUGGGUCUUGAGAGAAUCAACUUGAACCAAAUUUUUGUUCAAGACGAUGACCAAGCAACGCGGCUAGGGAUGUCAAUCGGGCCAGUCCACCGAGUUUUGGGCCAAUCCUAUCGGAUUUCAGAUUAAUCAGGUUUCAGGCUAGAUUGACAUCCCUAAACGCGGCAGCUACACCCGAAGUCGGAGCUGAUAUGCACCUUGUGGGCCGAAGCUACCCUAAAUGCUGUGACAGACGCCGAUCAAAAGGUUCUUGUGUGUUGGGAAGCAAUCGUGAUGAAGUACAAUGAGCAACGGUCUUCCAACACCAUUUCACGCGAAGAAGAUCGAGUCGUUCUUCCACCGAGUGCAAAAUGAUGUAAAAGUUUGGGAGGCAGUAUACGAGAAAUGUCGUUCUAAUUGGGGGAGCUGCAUGAGCGAUGACCAAAUCACUACGGCAGCGCAACAAAUGCAUCACACUGAGCAGGGGUAUUUGUUCAAAUAUCCCCACUCUUGGCGUAUUAAUUCUAUGUGAGUCUCAAAGAUCCACAUCAUCUAGCAACGACGUCCACUCCUCCAAGCGUUCGAAGGGAUUUGAUGGGGUAUACACAGCGACUUCAAGCGAGCCGAGUAUCACAACAAGGCCUAUAGGCUAAAAGGCGGCGAAAAGAGACAAAGAAAAAGACCAAGUCGUCGCCAUAAGAGGAUAAACAAGUAAGAGCUAUUGUGACCAUGAAAAACAUGAUUAAAGUCAUAGAUGUUUACUCUCAAAUACAAUUGAACCUUGCCGACUCCAUCCUCAUAGGCAAGGAUACGUCGAUAAUAACUCUGGAAGAGUUGGAGCUUCACCAAAAAAUGAUUGCAACAUUUCACAUUCACCGAUGAUGGUGAAUUUUUAUUAUUAUUAUUAUUUUAUUUUUUAAUUAGUGUAUGGUUCAACUUUUAUUUUAAUGAAAUUAUAUUCUUAAAUUUAA